AGAGUUUGAUCCUGGCUCAGGAUGAAUGCUGGCGGCGUGCCUAAUACAUGCAAGUCGAGCGGUAGCAGGGCUUCACCGUUCUCUUGUCGCGCUUGGCCUUUGAGCAAGUGGUCUGAUACGAGGGAACAGUGAAGCUGCUGACGAGCGGCGGACGGCUGAGUAACGCGUGGGAACAUACCCCGAAGUGAGGGAUAACUACUCGAAAGAGUGGCUAAUACCGCAUGUGAUCUUCGGAUUAAAGCAUUUAUGCGCUUUGGGAAUGGCCUGCGUACGAUUAGAUAGUUGGUGAGGUAAAGGCUCACCAAGUCGACGAUCGUUAGAUGGUUUGAGAGGAUGAUCAUCCAGACUGGGACUGAGACACGGCCCAGACUCCUACGGGAGGCAGCAGUAGGGAAUCUUUCACAAUGGGCGAAAGCCUGAUGGAGCGACGCCGCGUGCAGGAUGAAGGCCUUCGGGUUGUAAACUGCUUUUAUAAGCGAGAAAUAUGAUGGUAACUUAUGAAUAAGGAUCGGCUAACUACGUGCCAGCAGCCGCGGU
rnacentral:rRNA from 1 species